rnacentral:tmRNA from 1 species
GGGGGUGAAAGGUUUCGACUUCGGUUGUCGAGACGGGAGAAGCGAGCCGUGGACUCCGGAGCCACGUGAAAAGCCGGAAACAAAAACAAAUGCCGAGCCUCAGCUCAGCCUCGCUGCCUAACUAGUCAGCGACGUCUGGUCCGCCCCGGUCCCACGGGCGGGUCCCAGGCGACAUCUCGUGGGACUUACCCGGUUGGCGUCACCGGAUCGCCGUCGGGGACAUCUUCUCCGGUUAGGACUCGACCAGGGGGCCAGCGGCCCGGUCGGCUCCGAACUUUCUCCGCUGGCUGCGCUCGGAGAAGGACCGUUGAGGGACCGGAGGACGCGGGUUCGAUUCCCGCCACCUCCACGA